rnacentral:rRNA from 1 species
AGCAGCCGCGGUAAUUCCAGCUCCAAUAGCGUAUAUUAAAGUUGUUGCAGUUAAAAAGCUCGUAGUUGAAUCUCGGGAUCAGUAGGUUGGUCAUACCUCUGGUAUGUACUGGUCUCACUGAUUCCUCCUUCCUGAUGAACUGUAAUGCCAUUAAUUUGGUGUUGCAGGAAAGCAUGGACUGUUACUUUGUAAAAAGAAUUAGAGUGUUUAAAGCAAGCUAACGCUUGAAUACAUUAGCAUGGAAUAAUGAAAUAGGACGUUCGAUCCUAUUUUGUUGGUUUCUAGGAUUGACGUAAUGAUUAAUAGGGAUAGUUGGGGGCAUUAGUAUUCAAUUGUCAGAGGUGAAAUUCUUGGAUUUAUUGAAGGCUAACUACUGCGAAAGCAUUUGCCAAGGAUGUUUUCAUUAAUCAAGAACGAAAGUUAGGGGAUCGAAGACGAUCAGAUACCGUCGUAGUCUUAACCAUAAACUAUGCCGACUAGGGAUCGGAUGAUGUUAAUUUUUUAAUGACUCAUUCGGCGC